rnacentral:rRNA from 1 species
UACGUAAGUGGCGAGCGUUAUCCGGAAUUACUGGGCGUAAAGCGUGCGUAGGCGGUUUAGUGUGUGGGAAUUGAAAGCCCGGGGCUCAACUCCGGAUCCGGUUCCCAAACUGCUAGACUCGAGCGUAUCAGAGGAGAGCGGAAUUCCCGGUGUAGCGGUAAUAUGCGUAGAUAUCGAGAGGAACACCUGCGGCGAAGGCGGGUUGCUGGGCUGACACUGACGCUGAUGCGCGAAAGCCAGGGGAGCGAACGGG